UACGGAGGGUGCGAGCGUUGUCCGGAAUCACUGGGCGUAAAGAGCUCGUAGGCGGUUUGUCGCGUCGGCUGUGAAAACCUGGGGCUCAACCCCGGGCCUGCAGCCGAUACGGGCAAACUAAAAUUCGGUAGGGGAGACUGGAAUUCCUGGUGUAGCGGUGAAAUGCGCAGAUAUCAGGAGGAACACCGGUGGCGAAGGCGGGUCUCUGGGCCGAUAUUAACGCUGAGGCGCGACAGCGUGGGGAGCAAACAGG
rnacentral:rRNA from 1 species